AUCUAAAGAAAAUACACUGCCCUGGCUGGGUAGGACAGUUGGUAAGAGUUUCGUCCCCAUAUGUCAAGGUUGAGGGUUUGUUUUCUGUUCAGGGCACAUACAAGAGUCAACCAAUGAAUGUAUAACUAAGUGGAAUAACUAAUGAAUGUUUUUUCUCUCUCUCUCCCUUUCUCUCUCUCUCU